rnacentral:rRNA from 1 species
CGAAUCUUCCGCAAUGCGCGAAAGCGUGACGGGGUAAUGCCGCGUGCAGGAUGAAGCCCUUCGGGGUGUAAACUGCUGUCAGGGGCUAGGAAUUUCAUGACCAGCCCCAAAGGAAGAGCCGGCUAACUCUGUGCCAGCAGCCGCGGUAAUACAGAGGGCUCGAGCGUUAAUCGGAAUCACUGGGCUUAAAGCGUGCGUAGGCGGAUCUUCAGGCCUGUUGUGAAAUCCCACGGCUCAACCGUGGAAUUGCGAUGGGAACCGGAGAUCUUGAGUCAGGUAGAGGCGGGUGGAACGAUAGGUGGAGCGGUGAAAUGCGUAGAUAUCUAUCGGAACGCCAAAGGAGAAGUCAGCCCGCUGGGCCUGUUCUGACGCUGAGGCACGAAAGCGUGGGUAGCAAACGGGAUUAGAUACCCCGGUAGUCCACGCCGUAAACGAUGCGCACUAGACUGAGGGAGCUUGACGCUUUCUCAGUCGUAGCAAAAGUGCUAAGUGCGCCGCCUGGGGAGUACGGUCGCAAGAUUAAAACUCAAAUGAAUUGACGG